rnacentral:SRP_RNA from 1 species
CGGCUGUAAUGGUCAAUCGGUAGAAGGCUUUCACAAUUUCUCAAACCUUUCCCCACCCAAGUCCGUAAGAUCCCCCCGGUUCGACGCCCAGCGCGAACGCUCGCGGUGGUCGCACACUCGAUCGGGAAACCAUCGAUGCUGUCGCGCCCCUAAGCAAUGGGGAUGACCUUACUCCAGGGAGGCUUCACUCCGCAGAGACAUCCCCACCGUCGCGUGGCGCGCUGGAUUACGAUCGCCGGGGGAUUUGGGUGGGUGGGUUGAGAUGGAGAUGUCAACUCCAUAAUU